GGCCCCUUGGUCAAGCGGUCAAGACAGCGGCCUUUCACGCCGUUAACGGGGGUUCGAUUCCCCCAGGGGUCACCA
rnacentral:tRNA from 2 species